rnacentral:rRNA from 1 species
UACGGAGGAUCCAAGCGUUAUCCGGAAUUACUGGGCGUAAAGAGUUGCGUAGGUGGCAUUGUAAGUCGGUAGUGAAAGCGUGGGGCUCAACCUCAUAAACAUUACCGAAACUGCAAAGCUUGAGGACGAGAGAGGUCGCUGGAAUUCCUAGUGUAGGAGUGAAAUCCGUAGAUAUUAGGAGGAACACCGAUGGCGUAGGCAGGCGACUGGCUCGUUCCUGACACUGAGGCACGAAAGCGUGGGUAGCAAACGGG